rnacentral:sRNA from 1 species
UCUCCAGGCAUCCAAGCAAAAUGGCACCCGGCCCCGAGAGGUGCUUCUGGUCCUCAGUGUAAACAGCAGUGUCUUUCUGCAUCUCCAGGCCCUGGGAAUCCCACUGCACUUGGCUUACGCAGGGAACACCCACCACAUGCUGGGUGUCAGGGUGAUGCUGGCAUGUCAGGAUCCUGUGAUGGGCCCAGGGCCCAGCACAAAGUCAGACAAAUAUUUGUCAGUGCGUACUAUGUGUCAAGCACUGUGCAAAGAUGGGCAGGAAUUCCAGCCUGGUCACCUUCCAAGAGCCCCCGGGAGUCAACACCACAGAGCUGCCAUCCUUCCCCAAGACCCAGGUCCUCGAGUGGGCAGCUGAGAGGGGCCCCAUCACCUCUGCUGCCGAGCUGAAUGACCCCCAGAGCAUCCUCCUCCAACUGGGCCAAGCCCAGGGGUCACUGUCCUUCUGCAUGCUGGAAGCCAGCCUGGACAUGGGCCGCAGGCUCGAGUGGCGGCCGC